GAUGAAGAACGCAGCGAAAUGCGAUAAGUAGUGUGAAUUGCAGAAUUCAGUGAAUCAUCGAAUCUUUGAACGCACAUUGCGCCCCUUGGUAUCCCGAGGGGCAUGCCUGUUCGAGCGUCAUUUCACCACUCAAGCCUGGCUUGGUGUUGGGCGACGUCCCCUUUGGGGACGCGCCUCGAAACGCUCGGCGGCGUGGCACCGGCUUUAAGCGUAGCAGAAUCUUUCGCUUUGGAAGUCGGGGCCCCGUCUGCCGGAAGACCUACUCGCAAGGUUGACCUCGGAUCAGGCAGGGAUACCCGCUGAACUUAAGCAUAUCAAUAAGCAGGA
rnacentral:misc_RNA from 1 species